GAGUUUGAUCCUCGCUCAGGACGAACGCUGGCGGCGUGCUUAACACAUGCAAGUCGAACGAUGAUGCCCAGCUUGCUGGGCGGAUUAGUGGCGAACGGGUGAGUAAUACGUGAGUAACCUGCCCUUGACUCUGGGAUAAGCCCGGGAAACUGGGUCUAAUACUGGAUACUACUUCGCACCGCAUGGUGGGUGGUGGAAAGGGUUUUACUGGUUUUGGAUGGGCUCACGGCCUAUCAGCUUGUUGGUGGGGUAAUGGCUCACCAAGGCGACGACGGGUAGCCGGCCUGAGAGGGUGACCGGCCACACUGGGACUGAGACACGGCCCAGACUCCUACGGGAGGCAGCAGUGGGGAAUAUUGCACAAUGGGCGGAAGCCUGAUGCAGCGACGCCGCGUGAGGGAUGACGGCCUUCGGGUUGUAAACCUCUUUCAGUAGGGAAGAAGCGAGAGUGACGGUACCUGCAGAAGAAGCGCCGGCUAACUACGUGCCAGCAGCCGCGGUAAUACGUAGGGCGCAAGCGUUGUCCGGAAUUAUUGGGCGUAAAGAGCUCGUAGGCGGUUUGUCGCGUCUGCUGUGAAAGCCCGGGGCUCAACCCCGGGUCUGCAGUGGGUACGGGCAGACUAGAGUGCAGUAGGGGAGACUGGAAUUCCUGGUGUAGCGGUGAAAUGCGCAGAUAUCAGGAGGAACACCGAUGGCGAAGGCAGGUCUCUGGGCUGUUACUGACGCUGAGGAGCGAAAGCAUGGGGAGCGAACAGGAUUAGAUACCCUGGUAGUCCAUGCCGUAAACGUUGGGCACUAGGUGUGGGGGACAUUCCACGUUUUCCGCGCCGUAGCUAACGCAUUAAGUGCCCCGCCUGGGGAGUACGGCCGCAAGGCUAAAACUCAAAGGAAUUGACAGGGGCCCGCACAAGCGGCGGAGCAUGCGGAUUAAUUCGAUGCAACGCGAAGAACCUUACCAAGGCUUGACAUUCACCGGACCGCCCCAGAGAUGGGGUUUCCCUUCGGGGCUGGUGGACAGGUGGUGCAUGGUUGUCGUCGGCUCGUGUCGUGAGAUGUUGGGUUAAGUCCCGCAACGAGCGCAACCCUCGUUCUAUGUUGCCAGCACGUGAUGGUGGGGACUCAUAGGAGACUGCCGGGGUCAACUCGGAGGAAGGUGGGGAUGACGUCAAAUCAUCAUGCCCCUUAUGUCUUGGGCUUCACGCAUGCUACAAUGGCCGGUACAAAGGGUUGCGAUACUGUGAGGUGGAGCUAAUCCCAAAAAGCCGGUCUCAGUUCGGAUUGAGGUCUGCAACUCGACCUCAUGAAGUCGGAGUCGCUAGUAAUCGCAGAUCAGCAACGCUGCGGUGAAUACGUUCCCGGGCCUUGUACACACCGCCCGUCAAGUCACGAAAGUUGGUAACACCCGAAGCCGGUGGCCUAACCCCUUGUGGGAGGGAGCCGUCGGAGGUGGGACUGGCGAUUGGGACUAAGUCGUAACAAGGUAACC
rnacentral:rRNA from 1 species